rnacentral:rRNA from 1 species
UACAGAGGUCUCAAGCGUUGUUCGGAUUCAUUGGGCGUAAAGGGUGCGUAGGUGGUGAUGCAAGUCUGGUGUGAAAUCUCGGAGCUUAACUCCGAAACUGCAUUCGAUACUGCCGUGCUUGAGGACUGGAGAGGAGACUGGAAUUUACGGUGUAGCGGUGAAAUGCGUAGAUAUCGGAAGGAAGACCAGUGGCGAAGGCGGGUCUCUGGACAGUUCCUGACGCUGAGGCACGAAGGUCAGGGGAGCAAACGGG